rnacentral:rRNA from 1 species
GACGGAGGGUGCAAGCGUUGCUCGGAAUUAUUGGGCGUAAAGGGCGCGUAGGCGGCUUUGCAAGUGGCGGGUGAAAUCCCUCGGCUUAACCGAGGAACUGCCUGCCAGACUGUGAGGCUUGAGACCGGGAGAGGUGAGUGGAAUUCCCAGUGUAGCGGUGAAAUGCGUAGAUAUUGGGAGGAACACCAGUGGCGAAGGCGGCUCACUGGACCGGAACUGACGCUGAGGCGCGAAAGCGUGGGGAGCAAACAGGG